rnacentral:rRNA from 1 species
GAUGAACGCUGACAGAAUGCUUAACACAUGCAAGUCUACUUGAUCCUUCGGGUGAUGGUGGCGGACGGGUGAGUAACGCGUAAAGAACUUGCCCUGCAGUCUAGGACAACAUUUGGAAACGAAUGCUAAUACCGGAUAUUAUGUGAGUUUCGCAUGAAAUUCAUAUGAAAGCUAUAUGCGCUGCAGGAGAGCUUUGCGUCCUAUUAGCUAGUUGGUGAGGUAACGGCUCACCAAGGCGAUGAUAGGUAGCCGGCCUGAGAGGGUGAACGGCCACAAGGGGACUGAGACACGGCCCUUACUCCUACGGGAGGCAGCAGUGGGGAAUAUUGGACAAUGGACCAAAAGUCUGAUCCAGCAAUUCUGUGUGCACGAUGAAGUUUUUCGGAAUGUAAAGUGCUUUCAGUUGGGACGAAGUAAGUGACGGUACCAACAGAAGAAGCGACGGCUAAAUACGUGCCAGCAGCCGCGGUAAUACGUAUGUCGCAAGCGUUAUCCGGAUUUAUUGGGCGUAAAGCGCGUCUAGGCGGUUUGGUAAGUCUGAUGUGAAAAUGCGGGGCUCAACUCCGUAUUGCGUUGGAAACUGCCAAACUAGAGUACUGGAGAGGUGGGCGGAACUACAAGUGUAGAGGUGAAAUUCGUAGAUAUUUGUAGGAAUGCCGAUGGGGAAGCCAGCCCACUGGACAGAUACUGACGCUAAAGCGCGAAAGGGUGGGUAGCAAACAGG